rnacentral:rRNA from 1 species
GUAGUCCAUGCCGUAAACGGUGGGCGCUAGGUGUGAGGGUCUUUUCACGACUUUCGUGCCGUAGCUAACGCAUUAAGCGCCCCGCCUGGGGAGUACGGCCGCAAGGCUAAAACUCAAAGGAAUUGACGGGGGCCCGCACAAGCGGCGGAGCAUGUGGAUUAAUUCGAUGCAACGCGAAGAACCUUACCUGGGCUUGACAUACACCGGAUCGGGCUAGAGAUAGUCUUUCCCUUUGUGGCUGGUGUACAGGUGGUGCAUGGUUGUCGUCAGCUCGUGUCGUGAGAUGUUGGGUUAAGUCCCGCAACGAGCGCAACCCUUGUCUUAUGUUGCCAGCAUUUGGUUGGGGACUCAUGAGAGACUGCCGGGGUCAACUCGGA